rnacentral:rRNA from 2 species
CGAACGAACUCUGGUAUUGAUUGGUGCUUGCAUCAUGAUUUACAUUUGAGUGAGUGGCGAACUGGUGAGUAACACGUGGGAAACCUGCCCAGAAGCGGGGGAUAACACCUGGAAACAGAUGCUAAUACCGCAUAACAACUUGGACCGCAUGGUCCGAGCUUGAAAGAUGGCUUCGGCUAUCACUUUUGGAUGGUCCCGCGGCGUAUUAGCUAGAUGGUGAGGUAACGGCUCACCAUGGCAAUGAUACGUAGCCGACCUGAGAGGGUAAUCGGCCACAUUGGGACUGAGACACGGCCCAAACUCCUACGGGAGGCAGCAGUAGGGAAUCUUCCACAAUGGACGAAAGUCUGAUGGAGCAACGCCGCGUGAGUGAAGAAGGGUUUCGGCUCGUAAAACUCUGUUGUUAAAGAAGAACAUAUCUGAGAGUAACUGUUCAGGUAUUGACGGUAUUUAACCAGAAAGCCACGGCUAACUACGUGCCAGCAGCCGCGGUAAUACGUAGGUGGCAAGCGUUGUCCGGAUUUAUUGGGCGUAAAGCGAGCGCAGGCGGUUUUUUAAGUCUGAUGUGAAAGCCUUCGGCUCAACCGAAGAAGUGCAUCGGAAACUGGGAAACUUGAGUGCAGAAGAGGACAGUGGAACUCCAUGUGUAGCGGUGAAAUGCGUAGAUAUAUGGAAGAACACCAGUGGCGAAGGCGGCUGUCUGGUCUGUAACUGACGCUGAGGCUCGAAAGUAUGGGUAGCAAACAGGAUUAGAUACCCUGGUAGUCCAUACCGUAAACGAUGAAUGCUAAGUGUUGGAGGGUUUCCGCCCUUCAGUGCUGCAGCUAACGCA